rnacentral:misc_RNA from 1 species
UCUCCGUAGGUGAACCUGCGGAGGGAUCAUUAUAGAGUUCAUGCACUAACGGGUAGAACUCCCAUCCUAUGUUAUUAUUACUAUGUUGCUUUGGCCGGACGUUAGGCUCCGGCUCGAGUACCCGCCCCGGCUGGUAAGCGCCCGCCAGAGGACCUACAACCCUGAAUAUUAGUGUCGUCCGAGUACUAUUUAAUAGUUAAAACUUUCAACAACGGAUCUCUUGGUUCUG